CGGAGGAGAAGAAACUUACGAGGAUUCCCCUAGUAACGGCGAGCGAACCGGGAAGAGCCCAGCUUGGGAAUCGGGCGGCCGUGCCGCCCGAAUUGUAGUCUGGAGAAGCGUCCUCAGCGACGGACCGGGCCCAAGUCCCCUGGAAAGGGGCGCCAGGGAGGGUGAGAGCCCCGUCCGGCCCGGACCCUGCCGCACCACGAGGCGCUGUCGGCGAGUCGGGUUGUUUGGGAAUGCAGCCCAAAUUGGGCGGUAAAUUCCUUGCAAGGCUAAAUACUCCUGGGUGACCGAUAGCGAACAAGUACCGUGAGGGAAAGAUGAAAAGGACUUUGAAAAGAGAGUCAAAGAGUGCUUGAAAUUGUCGGGAGGGAAGCGGAUGGGGGCCGGCGAUGCGCGCCGGCCGGAUGCGGAACGGC
rnacentral:rRNA from 1 species